CCUACGGGAGGCAUCAGUGAGUAAUAUUUUUCAAUUUUCUUUCUACUUAACCAGCCAAGCCGCGUGAGGGAUGAAGGUACAGAGUAUCGUAAACCUCUUUUGUCAGGGAACAAAGGCGGGGACGUGUCCCCGGAUGAGUGUACCUGAAGAAAAAGCAUCGGCUAACUCCGUGCCAGCAGCCGCGGUAAUACGGAGGAUGCGAGCGUUAUCCGGAUUUAUUGGGUUUAAAGGGUGCGCAGGCGGUCUGUUAAGUCAGCGGUCAAAGCCCGGGGCUCAACCCCGGCCCGCCGUUGAAACUGGCAGUC
rnacentral:rRNA from 1 species